CAUAGGUUAAUGAGGCGAACCGGGGGAACUGAAACAUCUAAGUACCCCGAGGAAAAGAAAUCAACCGAGAUUCCCCCAGUAGCGGCGAGCGAACGGGGAGCAGCCCAGAGCCUGAAUCAGUGUGUGUGUUAGUGGAAGCGUCUGGAAAGGCGCGCGAUACAGGGUGACAGCCCCGUACACAAAAAUGCACAUGCUGUGAGCUCGAUGAGUAGGGCGGGACACGUGGUAUCCUGUCUGAAUAUGGGGGGACCAUCCUCCAAGGCUAAAUACUCCUGACUGACCGAUAGUGAACCAGUACCGUGAGGGAAAGGCGAAAAGAACCCCGGCGAGGGGAGUGAAAAAGAACCUGAAACCGUGUACGUACAAGCAGUGGGAGCACGCUUAGGCGUGUGACUGCGUACCUUUUGUAUAAUGGGUCAGCGACUUAUAUUCUGUAGCAAGGUUAACCGAAUAGGGGAGCCGAAGGGAAACCGAGUCUUAACUGGGCGUUAAGUUGCAGGGUAUAGACCCGAAACCCGGUGAUCUAGCCAUGGGCAGGUUGAAGGUUGGGUAACACUAACUGGAGGACCGAACCGACUAAUGUUGAAAAAUUAGCGGAUGACUUGUGGCUGGGGGUGAAAGGCCAAUCAAACCGGGAGAUAGCUGGUUCUCCCCGAAAGCUAUUUAGGUAGCGCCUCGUGAAUUCAUCUCCGGGGGUAGAGCACUGUUUCGGCAAGGGGGUCAUCCCGACUUACCAACCCGAUGCAAACUGCGAAUACCGGAGAAUGUUAUCACGGGAGACACACGGCGGGUGCUAACGUCCGUCGUGAAGAGGGAAACAACCCAGACCGCCAGCUAAGGUCCCAAAGUCAUGGUUAAGUGGGAAACGAUGUGGGAAGGCCCAGACAGCCAGGAUGUUGGCUUAGAAGCAGCCAUCAUUUAAAGAAAGCGUAAUAGCUCACUGGUCGAGUCGGCCUGCGCGGAAGAUGUAACGGGGCUAAACCAUGCACCGAAGCUGCGGCAGCGACGCUUAUGCGUUGUUGGGUAGGGGAGCGUUCUGUAAGCCUGUGAAGGUGUACUGUGAGGUAUGCUGGAGGUAUCAGAAGUGCGAAUGCUGACAUAAG
rnacentral:rRNA from 1 species